rnacentral:rRNA from 1 species
CCGUAGGGUGAACCUGCGGAAGGAUCAUUACCGAG